UUGAAAAGAACUUUGAAGAGAGAGUUCAAGAGUACGUGAAACCGUUCAGGGGUAAACCUAAGAAACCCAAAAGAUCGAACGGGGAGAUUCAUCGUCAGCGGCGCUGGCUUCGCGUCGGUGGGCGAUGUCCCGCGGAGUCCUCGCGGCUCGCGCGCGGGCACGCUACCGUGCGCCGAUGUCCGGCUGUCGUCGUCGUGCACUUCUCCCCAAGUAGAACGUCGCGACCCGCUGGGUGUCGGUCUACGGCCCGGGUGCGGUGACUGUCGCGUCGCCGGUAAAACGGCACGCGACAAACCCCCGGUCGCCCGGCCGGCUGCUCGGCGGUACGCGCAAGGUAUCAGGCCGCACUUCUACACGGUGCGUCGAGGCCGUCGCAAGCGCGCGCCACGGUACUCGGAGGUUACGGACUUUGCGCCGUCCCCGGUCCUGGCCCGCUGUUGGUUAAAGUACGGAUCACCUUCGACAGGCCUGCGAACGUCUCUCUCACGGGGGACGGAUACCGGUCGGCGACGCUACUGCUUUGGGUACUCUUAGGACCCGUCUUGAAACACGGACCAAGGAGUCUAACAUGUACGCGAGUCAUUGGGACUUGUCGCGAGACCUAAAGGCGUAAUGAAAGUGAAGGUCGGCCCUGGCCGUCGACCGAGGGAGGAUGGGCCGCGUCGCGAUGCGGCCUCGCACUCCCGGGGCGUCUCGUUCUCAUCGCGAGAAGAGGCGCACCCAGAGCGUACACGUUGGGACCCGAAAGAUGGUGAACUAUGCCUGGUCAGGACGAAGUCAGGGGAAACCCUGAUGGAGGUCCGUAGCGAUUCUGACGUGCAAAUCGAUCGUCGGAACUGGGUAUAGGGGCGAAAGACUAAUCGAACCAUCUAGUAGCUGGUUCCCUCCGAAGUUUCCCUCAGGAUAGCUGGCACUCGGCCGUUCCGCACGGAACGCGCGCGAGUCUCAUCUGGUAAAGCGAAUGAUUAGAGGCCUUGGGGCCGAAACGACCUCAACCUAUUCUCAAACUUUAAAUGGGUGAGAUCUCUGGCUUUCUUGAAUUAUGAAGCCACGAGCAUCUCGGAUCAGAGUGCCAAGUGGGCCAUUUUUGGUAAGCAGAACUGGCGCUGUGGGAUGAACCAAACGCAGAGUUAAGGCGCCCAACUCGACGCUCAUGGGACACCAUGAAAGGCGUUGGUUGCUUAAGACAGCAGGACGGUGGCCAUGGAAGUCGGAAUCCGCUAAGGAGUGUGUAACAACUCACCUGCCGAAGCAACUAGCCCUGAAAAUGGAUGGCGCUGAAGCGUCGAGCCUAUACUCUGCCGUCAGCGGCAAGUGGGGCGGCGACGGGAGCGUUGCGCGCGUCGGACCGCGUUUGCGGCUCUCUCGCGAGGCAAUCGUCUCCCUCGAGUCGUCACGAAGCCCUGACGAGUAGGAGGGUCGCGACGGUGAGCGCAGAAGGGUCU
rnacentral:rRNA from 1 species